GAUAUAAAUAAUAAUUAUGUAGAUAUAUGUCUAUAUUUUGUUAGACUUAACUUGUUUUAAUAAAAUUUUAAAAAGCAUGCACACAACAGCUCAUUAUAAAGAAAUUUUGCCCACAGCGGCCCACUGUCGGCCCAACGUAGGGCCAGAUCAACACUAAUUUACCAUCGCUGAUGGACAUUUUGCCUGUUGUUGGGACUGCUGCAGAACAAGUGUUCGUUAUGAAUGGUGUAGAAUACUGAGAUUAAGCUUGCCACUUUAGGCUUUAUGGUGCAAAUUCAAAGUGUAAAUUAUAUAUAAUUAUGUUUUUAAAACAAAUGACUACACUAUUGUGUGGCUCGCCAGACAGCGGAGGAAUACAACAUAAAUAGGAAACAAGAUAUUUGAAUUUAUAAGUUAAAAUGCCAAGUUCUUUUCAUCACGCACGUGGAAUAUGUCUAGCAUACAUGAAGACUGAUUUUAGAGUGUUUGCUUGAAUCCAGAUACAAAAAUAAUGGUAUGAAGCAUCUUCCCACGGAAUUACCAUUCUGCAUGUCUUACUGAAGUAUUUAUCAUUUCUAGGUCAUUUCCAUAGUCUGAAGUCAUUUAAAAGAAUCAAAAAGUGGUUUUGAACUUCCAUUGUUCCAGUGUCAGAAAUGAUAGGGAUAAAAAGACAAAUACAUUGUAUUUAAUGUAACUGUGAAUUUCCUAAAAUAAAAUUA